rnacentral:rRNA from 1 species
UAGAGUUUGAUCCUGGCUCAGAAUCAACGCUGGCGGCGUGCCUAACACAUGCAAGUCGAACGCGAAAGGGGGCUUCGGCCCCCGCAGUAGAGUGGCGAACGGGUGAGUAACACGUGGGUAAUCUGCCUUUGGGUGGGGAAUAACGUUCCGAAAGGGACGCUAAUACCGCAUAACGCAGCGGCACCGCAUGGUGACAGUUGUUAAAGUGGGGGAUUUUCGGACCUCACGCCUGCAAGAGGAGCCCGCGCCCGAUUAGCUAGUUGGUGAGGUAACGGCUCACCAAGGCGACGAUCGGUAGCCGGCCCGAGAGGGCGGUCGGCCACACUGGCACUGAAGAUACGGGCCAGACUCCUACGGGAGGCAGCAGUGGGGAAUUUUGGGCAAUGGGCGAAAGCCUGACCCAGCAACGCCGCGUGAAGGACGAAAUCCCUUCGGGAUGUAAACUUCAAAAGUUGGGGAAGAAAUGCCGGAGGAUAUACCUUCGGAGAUGACGGUACCCAACGUAAGCCCCGGGCUAACUACGUGCAAGCAAGCCG